rnacentral:lncRNA from 1 species
CAGGGAGAAUGAAUGUGAGGCAUAGGCUGCGUCUUGAAACCUAGUAAGCCGCCUACCUAGACAGCAUUUUUGGGUGUCAAUGCUAUGUUCUGUAUGUGUCUAGCUAGCUAGCUCACUAGUUAUUUUAGACACCGCCAUAAACAACAGAUAUCAAGUCAUCAUUUCAGCCACCAUUUUUUUCUUAUGGCGUAAAUAAAUUUAAACGUUAUUACUGUGCAUUAUUUGAGUAUUAGAGCGAUCUUUUCUUUAUGCCUGUUUUUUUAGGCAGUAAAACAGUCUUCUGGGUCCUGUUCUUCGACCGUGGUUUAACAUAUCCCGGAUUGACCUAGCUCGAUCUGAAAUUGAGUUUUUUCGGCUCUUCUAACACAUAUUUCGGAUUUAUGUAUCUAGCUAAUAAAGACAGCUGACCGUUCAUGUGAGGAUUUAUACAUUUGUCUAUCAUGGCUAAACAGCGUGCUGCAUUUUUCAGUGCUGCUGAAUUGCAACUUAUAAUGGAAGGAUAUGAGGAAGUUAAACAUUUAAUAAAAACCAAAGGGAACACUAUAGCGGCUGCAAAAGUCCGUCAGGAUGCGUGGCGAAAAAUAACUGCCAAAUUAAAUGCGUAGGUAUACAUUUAAUUAGUCUGAGAGAGCACUAAUUAAGCAGUUUUAUGCAGUAUAUAUAUGACACACCUGUGCUGGCCAUCUAGUCUGUGUAUUAUGUUUAGGCUACCUUCUUAUUCUGCUGUUGGUCACGCUUAGAUCCAACCCUAUGGGACCUAGAAGAACGUGGCAACAAGUGAAGACGAAAUACAAGAACAUCGUUCAAAGUGCUAACAAGAGAAAGGCUGCACUGAAGAAGAUGAGACUAGUCCCAACAAAAGAGGAGCACAUGGAUGAAGAGGAGCUGCCCCCUGAGAACAAUGUGGACAGUCCUAUCAUAGCGAGCAUAGUUGGUGGCUGCUGGUCUGAUCCAGGAGAUACAGCUGGCUGCAGCAGUUAUGUCACAGUGACUGAACAUGGACUGGCCCUACUUCAGCCACCUGUAUUAUCAGAUGAAGAGCUGGACUCUGAACCUGUGGAAGAUGUUAAGACACUAUACAAGAAGUAUCUCCAAGUAGAGAUCUCCAACAGAAAGCAAGAAAUGGCAUACAGAGCUUUAAAAAUCAGCACUGGGUUGUAUUUAACCCAGCAUUUUUUAGAGUGUAAUGUCAGCUAUAUAAUCCAUAAGUAUAAAUGUCUAACUAUGAAGAUAAACACAAAGGUGUGUAUAGCGCUUUUCACAAUAAAUAUUUUAACCACACAGCGUUAGAACUAAUAAAAAAAGCCCUUUAAAAGCCCAAAUGGGUUGCAAGCUGUAGGUGACUGAGGCUUGGUGAAACCUAAAGGUUAGUACAACACAAAUACAAACUAAUCUUGACAGAAUACGUGCAGUGCUUUACCCCACAUCACAUCAGAUGUUUUAUUUUUUUUAGUAAUUAUCAUACGUCUAAAAUACAAACUAUUCUUGAAAGCAUGUACAAUGCAAC